AUUGAACGCUGGCGGCAGGCCUAACACAUGCAAGUCGAGCGGAUGAAGGGAGCUUGCUUCUGGAUCCAGAGGCGGAAGGGUGAGUAAUGCCUAGGAAUCUGCCUGGUAGUGGGGGAUAACGUCCGGAAACGGGCGCUAAUACCGCAUACGACCUGCGGGAGAAAGUGGGGGAUCUUCGGACCUCACGCUAUCAGAUGAGUCUAGGUCGGAGUAGCUAGUUGGUGGGGUAAAGGCCUACCAAGGCGACGAUCCGUAACUGGUCUGAGAGGAUGAUCAGUCGCACGGGAACUUGGACACGGUCCAUGCGCCUACGGGAGGCAGCAGUGGGGAAUGUUGGACAAUGGUCGGAAACCUGAUCCAGCCAUGCCGCGUGUGUUGAGAAGGUCUUCGGAUUGUAAAGCACUUUAAGUUGGUAUGAAGGGCAGUAAGUUAAUACCUAGCUGUUUUGACGGUACCAACAGAAUAAGCACCGGCUAACUUCGUG
rnacentral:rRNA from 1 species